rnacentral:rRNA from 1 species
CUCUCUGUCUGUGCCAUAUUAAACUUACUGUGAAGAUGUAAAUACCUCUAUGAUGGUACAAUACCCCAAGACCCUUAAAAUUUUAGAUAAAGUGUAUAAAAAUUUUAUACUUUCAUUUUGUUGGCACACUAGCAUUUCAUGUAACCUAUUUUAAAUUAUACAUGCUAUUUUUAUAAAGACAGGAAGUUUCUGGCUAGGGAUAAAAGCUUACUUUUGGGAUAGCUUGUGACCUCGAUGUUGGACUGGGGCCUCUUUUUUUCAUAAGAUUCUAUUUCAUGUUCUGUACAAACACGUAUCCUUACUUGAUCCGAG